UAGGGAAUCUUCGGCAAUGGGGGGAACCCUGACCGAGCAACGCCGCGUGAGUGAAGAAGGUUUUCGGAUCGUAAAGCUCUGUUGUUAAGGAAGAACGAGUGUGAGAAUGGAAAGUUCAUACUGUGACGGUACUUAACCAGAAAGGGACGGCUAACUACGUGCCAGCAGCCGCGGUAAUACGUAGGUCCCGAGCGUUGUCCGGAUUUAUUGGGCGUAAAGCGAGCGCAGGCGGUCAAUUAAGUCUGAUGUGAAAGCCCCCGGCUCAACCGGGGAGGGUCAUUGGAAACUGGUUGACUUGAGUGCAGAAGAGGAGAGUGGAAUUCCAUGUGUAGCGGUGAAAUGCGUAGAUAUAUGGAGGAACACCAGUGGCGAAGGCGACUCUCUGGUCUGUAACUGACGCUGAGGCUCGAAAGCGUGGGUAGCAAACAGG
rnacentral:rRNA from 1 species